rnacentral:rRNA from 1 species
UUCGUAGGCGGUGUGGCAAGUCGGGAGUGAAAUCUCUGGGCUCAACCCAGAGGCUGCUUCCGAAACUGCUGUGCUUGAGUGUGAGAGAGGCGCGUGGAAUUGCAGGUGUAGCGGUGAAAUGCGUAGAUAUCUGCGGGAACACCCGUGGCGAAAGCGGCGCGCUGGAUCACUACUGACGCUGAGGAACGAAAGCUAGGGGAGCAAACAGGAUUAGAUACCCUGGUAGUCCUAGCCCUAAACGAUCAGGACUUGGGGUGCCGCCCGUUCGGGCGUCGUCCCGGAGCUAACGCGUUAAGUCCUGCACCUGGGGAGUACGGUCGCAAGACUGAA